rnacentral:rRNA from 1 species
AUUGAACGCUGGCGGCAUGCCUUACACAUGCAAGUCGAACGGUAACGCGGGGCAACCUGGCGACGAGUGGCGAACGGGUGAGUAAUACAUCGGAACGUGCCCAACAGUGGGGGAUAGCCCGGCGAAAGCCGGAUUAAUACCGCAUAUAACCUAAGGGUAAAAGCGGGGGAUCGCAAAACCUCGUGCUGAUGGAGCGGCCGAUGUCAGAUUAGGUUGUUGGUGGGGUAAAGGCCUACCAAGCCGACGAACUGUAGCUGGUCUGAGAGGACGACCAGCCACACUGGGACUGAGACACGGCCCAGACUCCUACGGGAGGCAGCAGUGGGGAAUUUUGGACAAUGGGCGCAAGCCUGAUCCAGCCAUGCCGCGUGCGGGAUGAAGGCCUUCGGGUUGUAAACCGCUUUUGUCGGGGAAGAAAUACUCCGGGCUAAUACCCCGGGAGGAUGACGGUACCUACAGAAGAAGGACCGGCCAACUACGUGCCAGCAGCCGCCGCGG